AGGACACAAUAGCCAUACUCCGAAGAUCCUCAGCAAGAGCUCACACUGCCCAUUCUGGUCCCUGGUCUCUAUCCGGAGAGCCAGUAGCUCAGGAGUUGCUCCGCGUCUGCAAAGAAGCACAAAAGAACAAAUCACUAUGGAGUACCCAGUCCAAACCGCGUCCCCCGCAACCCAGGUUGCUCAAUGUCCUGAGCCAAGGGUCCAAGGCAUCACCAGCAGCCAGUCCCAGAUGAAGUCAUCCGGUGCCCAGCUCAGGAAUCAGGUUACAAGCAGGGGAAGCCUGGGACUCAAGAGUUCCACCAUGAACCUGGGAAUUCCAUGUAACAGAAGGCUUGGUAUGCAGCAAGAUCAACCGACACAUUGCUUCCAGUGGCUUGUUCAUUGCCUGUUGGCUGAUUUAUAGUAUUUGGCUUAAUUGCUCUCCUCCCCCAUCCAGCUGUCAGAGAUUCAGUGCUUAUCUUGCCUGCCGAGGAGGCACUGACUUCUUCUGAGUGCCUCCACCUGCUGUCGGUGUUUUGCACAUCUCAGCUCUUGCGGGAUUAAUGGUUUAAUCAUCCUCUGGCUCAAGGUUUGGCCUUCCAUCCCCAUCUCCUCUGCCCCCGAUGGGCCUUUUUGUCCUGAACCUUCACCCUGGCCUGUCUCAGCUACCUCCUGAGGCCCGACAACCGAGUUCUCCCUUUCAGGUGCCUCUUUGCCCACUGGAGGAUUGCCAGCCUCCCACUCCUCACUGCUAUCCGUGGGUGAGGGCAUGACAAACAUUUUCUUCCCAAAGAUUUCACUGAAGGAAUAGUUGAUGAGUCGGGAUAUUCCUUGGGCAAAAGGAGGAUUUGCAAAUACAAGAAUGUAAGAUCCCUAGUGAUUCAGAUCCAAGGCCUCUAUCACCCAGCAUUCUUUUUCCAGGAGUGAACAACCAGAUGCUUUGGGAAUGCUUAUUCCAUUCUUCUGAGUCAUACAGAAUCUUACCUAUGGCUAAAUAUGGACUCAAUAAGUUAUACUCCUUAGAAACUGAAUUUUUGAUUACUUGUACUAGACAAAGAUAUUGGGAACGGAGAAUCUGGUAAACUCUUGGCUUCUAGACUAAUGCAGAUUAAACAGCAUAACAUUAUAUCUUCUAUCCAUGAUACUCAAGGUAAUGUCCAUACAGAUCCUGAAUGUAUAAAUCAGCAGGUUUUUUUAGUUUUAUUCUAAGAUGUAUAGUAGUAGUACAUCUAAUAUUGUUGCAGACAUAGAUUGUUUCCUGCAAAAGGUGCAUCUUCCACAUUUAACACAAGAUCAUAUCAAUCAUUUAGCUGCACCUCUUUCUCUACAGGAUAUAAUGACCACAAUUAAAUCUAUAACAUCUGGAAGGGCUCCGGGGACCAAUGGAUUUUCUAUGAAGUUUUACAAGAAAUAUAUAAGUUUCCUGGUUCCAAUUUUAUUGCAGGUCUAUAAUGACCUUUUCUUAGUAAGUUCUUCCCUCCUACUUUUAAUGAAGCUUAUAUAUCAGUUCUCCUUAAGCCCGGUAAAGAUCUUGGUUUAUGUACUAGCUAUAGAUCUAACUCUUUGUUAAAAGUUGACACUAAGAUAUAGACAGCUAUGCUGUCACAUAGAGUGCAGACUGUGCUGCCUACCAUUAAUAAUCCCUUUCAGACAGGAUUUAUAUCUGGUUGCCAAGAAUCAGAUAAUAUCAGAUUGUUAAUUGAUGUCUUAGCUUUAUCCUUAGAGAAGCAAGGACCUGCCACUAUAGUUUCUUUAGACUCAAGAGAAGACAUUUUACACAAUCCAUCUAGGGUUCUUGAAACAUGUCCUGAUUACAUUUGGAUUUCCCCCACAUUUUUUGACUUGGGUUACUAUGCUAUACAUGCCUCCUUAUUCAUGAGUUAUCACCAAUGGUCUAUUGUCCCUUUCAAUUUGGCUAGAAAGGGGGCACACAUCAGGGAUAUCCUCUGUCUCCUCUUUUUUACAACAUGGUGUUAGAACUCCUGGCUUGUGCUAUUAGAGACUCUUAGUUAGUUAGUUAUUUUAUUUACGGCCAAUGACCAAUGACCAAACAAACACCUGAACAGUAAGUACACAAUUACAAAUCUAAAACCAAAUAAAAUAAUUUUAAACCCCAGUUUGCAAGCAUCUUAUUUUGCAUGCCGCAGCACAAAAACAUGCAAUUCUGUAAGCAGUCUCCUCUUGGUGAUCCACUAGAAAGAAAGCAACAUGAUAAUCAUCAAAAAGCCCAGAACAUUUUUUCAUAUAAGGCUCAAUCUAAAUGGAAUGAAUUGAUUUAUAAAAGGAACAGUGAAGCAAAACAUGAGCUAUUGACUCAACUGCACCUACAUCACAGGAAGAGGCGAUUCCUUAGAGGGGCUCUUUUAUAUCUUCCCUCUAAUACAGCCGAGGGAAGAACAUUAAAUCGUGCUUGGGGAAAAACUCUUCUCAACCUUAAAGUAGACAGGUUAAAUAAGCAGCAGGCACCAGGUAAUUUUUAAAAACCGCCACAAAUAUUCCUAGGAGCAAUCAAACUAAGGUCAUUAGAGACUCUGAUAACACAAAGGAUAUUACACCAGGUGGGAUGGAUAUAAAUUGGGGUAAAUUGGAUUUGAUGCCUUUAGGUUCUACAGGUUUUCCUGAUGAGUGUAGGGUUUGGGGUUUUAGGUAGUGUCCAGAGUCUUUUGUGUAUUUAGGCAUAGUAAUUUCUAGAAAGCUCUCUCAAUUAGUAAAUUCAAAUUUUUCCAAAUUUUGGGUUCAAAUGAAAAAUGACUUAGAUCUGUGGGCUAUAAUUUUGUUGAGUAUCUGGGGCAAAAUAAAUGUGAUAAAGAUGAAUCCAACACUGGGGAUCAUAUAUAUUUUAAGUGGUCUUCCAAUUCUUGUACUUUCAUCAUAUUUUAAGCAAGUCUAUAAAUUAAUCAAUUACUUCUUAUGGCAAUUCUGUCCAGAUUUUCACAUCGUAAAUUUUAGCUACCUAUAGAAGAAGGCAGAUUUAACUUUCCACAUUUUCAGGCUUAUCGUUGGGCAUUUAUUCUAUUUUCAGUCUUGGGGGGGGGGGGACAAUGAGUCCCAGGUUUUGGUCACGCUUUGGCCCCAGCUCAAAAGUUAUUAUUUGACCCCAUGAAAUCUUGGCAGAUGCUGGGUUCAUCAUUUGUUUAUGGAUCUAGGUCAUUACUGGUGUUUAAAGCUGCAAGGCAUAUAUGUAAAACUUUGGCUUCUAGGCAUGGUUUGGUCCUUUCCAGAGUGAAAAGCUUAGCUUGUGGUAGAAUCUCUGUUUGAAGAUCGGGCUAAUUGGGCCUCCCACAGUGUCAUUACACUGUGGGAGGAUCAAUUUAUCUCUUCUGAAACUGUUUUAAAAUCUUUUGAUACUUUGAGAGCCGAGUUUGAUUUAUCUUUAAAUGCCAGCUGGAAGUUUAUUUAGCUAAAACAUUUACUAUCACAACUUUUUAGUCCUGAUGCAAUUGCAGCUUCUGAUACUCUGUUUCUAUUAUUAGACCUGGAACAUCUAUUGCCUGUAACCCCGCUUUAUCAGAAGCUUAAAUACAUUGAUAAGAUUGAUAUUGAUUAUAUUCUAGAUCUUAUUAAAUCAGUGGUGGGUUGCUUUGAAGGCAGUGAAACGUGCCUCUUUGGAUCUAAUACUGCAGAAACUUUUAUUCUGUGUUUAUUAGAUUCCUCAGAUAAUGUUUAACAAGGGUUACAGACUUCUAUACAUUGGAAGUGUAAUCUGUAUGAGGGUACACUUAUGCGUAUGGUUUUGUCCUGUCCAGUUAUUGUGCUAUUUUAGCUUGAAAUCCAUAAGGUUGUUAACAUGACAUUUCAGAAAUCAUAGCCUGUCAAGGACGUUCAUGUUUAGUUGGAGUACAUACCCAGCCAGUUUGUGGAUUCUUUGUGCCUGGUGGGGUUGCCAAAAGGAUUAUAAUACAGCACUGGAAGAACAAAUUUACUCCUGAAUUGCAACUUUGGAAAAUUGACAUGUAUUCCUUGUCAGCACUUGAACUGGUUGUUGUUUGGAGUUUUUUAAUGGAAAGGUAAAGAAGAGGAAUUUUAAUGAAUUAUUUCUGCUUUAGGAUAUAUAUCCUUAAAAGAAGGUGUUUCCCCCACCAUCACCACUUCCCUUUCUUUUUUGCUAGGCAGGUUGUAUUUUAUUAUGCAAAAGUUAUGUUUAAGGGAUGUUUUCUUUUUUUUUCCUUCGGUUAUACUUUCAUAUGUAAUUGUUUAUCCUUGAUUAUGUUAUAUGCACUGUUGUAAUUUAUUGAAAUUUUUAAAAAUCUCAUUAAAAGCUUGGGUGAGCA